CCUACGGGGGGCAGCAGUGAGGAAUAUUGGUCAAUGGGCGCGAGCCUGAACCAGCCAAGUAGCGUGAAGGAUGACUGCCCUACGGGUUGUAAACUUCUUUUAUAAAGGAAUGAAGGGAGGCAAGUGUGCAUUAUUGUCUGUACUUUAUGAAUAAGGAGCGGCUAACUACGUGCCAGCAGCCGCGGUAAUACGGAGGAUCCGAGCGUUAUCCGGAUGGAGUGGGUUUAGAGGGAGCGUAGAUGGGUUGUUAAGUCAGUUGUGAAAGUUUUCGGCUCAACCGUAAAAUUGCAAUUGAUACUGGCAGCCUUGAGUACAGUUGAGGUAGGCGGAAUUAGUGGUGUAGCGGGGAAAUGCUUAGAUAUCACGAAGAACUCCAAUUGCGAAGGCAGCUUACUAACCUGCCACUGACAUUGAUGCUCGAAAGUGUGGGUAUCAAACAGGAUUAGAUACCCGGGUAGUC
rnacentral:rRNA from 1 species